ACCACAAUCCAAGCUGGAGGGGAGAGAAGAAAGGAGAGAAGGGAGGCCCGCUGCGGGCUCUAGCGCCGCGCCGCGCUUCUCUCUUCUCCACCGCGCGCACCUGGCCACAAAUGGCUUCUUGCGCACCAAAUCGAAGAAGUCUCUAAAUCGCCCCCAAAUCGUCACCUCCCAAACCCUUGCCGGGGCAGCACCAAGGAGAUGGGCAAGCAGUCCUAAAGGACGCGUGCACUAGAGCCUCUGAAGGUCCCUCCGGCGGCACCCCAUCUCGUCCCGCCGACUGCACCUCACCUCGUCCUGCCGCUGCCUCAUCCUAUCCCGUCGUUCUUCCCUUCCAGUCUGCAGCAACCAAGUGCGGCAGGUGCUGCGACUCGAGGCCCUUGCUGGGCACCACCUGCUCUGCAUCUACUUGGUUAAUGCUUGGGAGUAUUGACGACUCCGAUCUGGAAGCAUGGCGAUGCAGGUAUCUAGAGUAGAGAUCUGACAACGCCUACCCCUCACGGGGAUGGCGGCGAUGGUGCGUUUGAUCGGCGGCGGCCACAGUUGACUUUCCCCCGCUCAAUACUCUCUCGCCGCCGCCCCGACGCCAUGGUCACUGGCCCGCCACCUAGACGCCAAGUUUUGGGGGUAGUUCAAGGCCUUAAUGUGAUGGCUUUUGUUUGUGGUUCUACUGAAAGAUGCUGGACGGGCAAGAGAGAAUGCUGGACGUUUCACAGAGUGAGAAGAGACCAAGCCUUUGAAGCAGAAUACCCUCCCUCCUACCUGAAGCGGUGCAGCAGUUCCACAGAAACCUAGCCAACAUCAGCGACCGCAGCAUAUUCAGGUUGGACAGAGUCAGCAAAUUCAGCGGACGGUGGUUACCCAAGGUCCUUAGGUUCGUCCUCAAAAUCCUCAUAAUCAACACAAUGGGGCUUCUACAAGCAGUGAGGCAUCAUUGAUUGAGCAAGUAUUGGAUCCUAGGUAUGCUGGUUUGAUCUGUUUCAAUUGCGGAGAGCCGGGUCACUUUGUGGGAAAUUGUGUUAAGUCUAAAGUCUGUUUCAUUUGCAAUGUACCUGGCCAUCCAGUCAACAAUUGUACUGAGUGGGUUAACUUGCCUCCUGCUGCCACUUUUUUUGGUAGCGCUGCUCGCGGUCUAGGAUUUUUUCAUGUGGAGGUUCCCACCGCAUCAGAAAUUCUGGCUUGGUUACAAUUAAAACCAGAACAGUUUGCUUUAUCUGAAUUGGAACAGAAAUUGUCGGGAAUUUUCUGUACACAGAAGCUUUGAAGUGGAUCAGAACUCUUUUGUAGUAUGGUUUCCACCUUGAAAGAAUGUAACAGAGUUGAUGUAUCUCCCCACCUUUGCUUUGGAAGAGGGAUGAGAGACAGUGAAGAUAACUCAAUGGGAAGGUAACAUUGAUGCUUUCAGUGAUUUGGAACAAGCGUGGGUGCUGAUUGAAGGGAUCUCUCCUAAAUGGUGCUCUUGGGAUUAUGACUGACGUGGGCUUGGCAAGUUUGUUCAAGAGUUUCUAUGAGACCCAACAAAAGUUCCUCUUGAGAGGUUAGUGGAAAUGAAGAAAAAGUUAUACGUGUUAGCUUUCAAAGUGGAAGGGUUACUCAAACUGGUGAAGACGCCUAUUUCGGAGAAGAUGAGAAAGAUGAAGAUGUUACUUUCGAUGAGCUGGAUGAUGGGAAUGAUCCGAACACGCACAGGAACAGACUGGAAACCAAGGAGAUACAACCUAUACGUCUUUGGGCAUUGGGGAACAAUCAAACCGCACCAGUUCUGCUGCCUUGCAAUACCACCCAGGGGUUCUGCUGGAUGCCUGAACUCAACCAACUUCAGGCGAUGGGGUUGUGUCUGCAUCCAAGUUGAGGAAGAGGUGGAAAUAACUAACUGCUGAGAGCUUGGGGUUGAUGUCUGAUGAAGCUUUCUCUCAUGUUUUUGGAGCCGCUGACAUUAUGGAGUGUCCCCAUGGCUGAUGAUGUUCACAUGCCAAAUGAAGAUCAGCCUGAUACGGAGAUAACAAGUGCAUGCACCCAAAACCUGGACUCAACUAAAGAAAUGUAUCCGAUGAAUUCGACAAGGGUCUUGCCUCAAGUUGAGAACAUUGAUGCAAUUAACGAUGGUAAUGUCUGUAAGAAGGAUUGUGCGAUAAGUGGAAUGGUUCAGUCUAGCAUCCUUGUUGUGACACCAAAUGAUGGCCUGCAACAGGUGGAGAUGGGGGGAUUGUUUCCCUGAAUUCUUCUGUCGGAAUGGUGCCGAGCUAUGCUUAGUCUGAAGCACCAAAUAAAAAAUCCAUCAAUUACAGCUAUUGCUCUGCUCUGUUAGGCGAAUUGCAGCAACAAGAUUCAGAUGAGGAUGAGAAGGGCGAUGAAGAAAUGGAAUGCUUAGAUGCAGUAACAAUUGAAAGGCUUAACCUAGAGGCAGUUAGGGUUAAUCUGCUACCUCUACUGCAGAAGGCAAUGGAAGACAGUGAAGAAGCAAAGAUUAAAUCUCCUCCAAAGAAGAAAUGGUGGCCUGUUUUGGCCACCAAAAGAAGUUCAAGAUUCCAGGGAAAUGCUACUAUCAUGGAGAAAGCUGAGGCUUAUUUGAUGAAAAAGAAUCUGGAAAUCUCUCGCACCUUUAAAGGGCAGGAGAUGGAAAAACAUAAGGGAUGUAUGGGAUAGAUUGAUCUCGACCAUACAUCGGUGGGCAAUACUAUGCAAGCCUGCUCUGGAAGACACCCUGAAGUAAUGCAUCCGGGAUAUGGAGCGCAAGCGGGAGGAACUCCUUUGGAUAGCCUGGUACUAGUUCUCUCAGGAGGCGAGUGGAUGAUGGCCGAGCUACAGCGCCAACUGCUUCUAACUAACUGGUUCUCCCCUCCAGUCACCUUCUCCAACCCAGUCCAGGCCGGUAGCAGAUCCAAGCGCAAGGCGUCCUGAUGAAGAGUAAAAGAAACUUGGGCUCUGCUAAGCUUUCUAGUUUAUGUUUUGGUUUGUUGUUCCUGGCUCUUUAAGGCAGUAAGCUUGGUUUGUGAUAAAUGAGAGAGGUAACGGGCUUUGUUCCCUGAACUGUGACAAGCUUUGGUAGUUUUUAGCUGGUACAACUUGUUGUCUACCCACCUUUUUUUCUUCCUUUUCUUUUUGUUCUACUUUCUGCAAAACAGACCUUUGUUACUUCUGUUGAUUUCAUAUAAUGGAAUCGGGGGGGGGGGGGGAACCCCUAUUAUUCUAAAAAAAGAAACCUAGCCCAGCCCAAAGAAUCGCAGGUUUUGAAGAUGGGCUCGACGUAUAGCUGCUUCUUUGUGAUCUAGGUGAUGCUUUUUUCUUUUCUUGUUUCUUUGCUGGAGUGGUCUAGCUGUGUAUCGCCGCUCCAAGCGAAUGAAGUACUGGAUUAGCCUGUGGUAGCACUGCCCAGGAUUGGUUGGUGUUACCUUUUGUACUGGUAGUGUAUUUACCAUGUUAGGACUUGUAAUAUUCGUGAAUAUGGGAAGCUAUGCACAUGGAUAUUUCUGUACUACUUAUACAGAUUUAGGCGUGCCUGAAGGCUUGCUUUUCACCGAUCGCUUGGGUCUGGAUUCCAUGCCAUGUUAGUUGAAUGCGUGUAUGUAUGUUUCUUGUCGGCCACAGACGCCCAAGGUUACAAAGUGGCAAUAUGUAGAGGAUGGAAUAUAGUUUCGGUUUGUUCA